GCUUCCAUAGCGCAGUGGCAGCGCGUCAGUCUCAUAAUCUGAAGGCCGUGAGUUCGACCCUCACUGGGAGCA
rnacentral:tRNA from 1 species